UACGGAAGAUGCGAGCGUUAUCCGGAUUCAUUGGGUUUAAAGGGAGCGUAGGCGGCCCGUUAAGUCAGCGGUUAAAUGUCAUCGCCCAACGAUGUCAUGCCGUUGAUACUGGUGGGCUUGAAUACACACAAGGAAGGUGGAAUUCGUCGUGUAGCGGUGAAAUGCUUAGAUAUGACGAAGAACUCCGAUUGCGAAGGCAGCCUUCUGGGGUGCGAUUGACGCUGAGGCUCGAAAGUGCGGGGAUC
rnacentral:rRNA from 1 species